UAUAUAUAUAUAUAUGCUGUUUUAAGAAGCUUUGAAAUUGUGUUGAUGGUUUGUUGAAGGUAGAUUAGGGUUUUUACUAAUUAAUGAUUUUAUAUGAUUAAGGAAGUAAGAAAAAUUUAGGAUGAGUAUUUUUGAUGCUGCUGCUGGGAUUUUUGUUGUGUGUAUCUUUGCUUUAAAUGGUUAAAUGACUAUGUAUAAGUGUUUUAUAACAUGUCUUAUGAGUGUAUAAAAAUCCCCAUAUGAAAAUACCAUUGUUUGGUAAUUGUUUAUGAAUUUAUGAUAAAAUGUUGCAAAGCUGUCACUGUGACAGAUUCUGUGUUUAUGCAUGAUAAAUUAUGUAUUAAAUUGCAUAUAGUGAAUUUGGAUGCUAGGGAUAAUUCCUAUGAAACCUAAGACACUUGUGGCUGUUAUAGAAGUGGUCUCACAGAAUUUGGAUGAACAUAAAAAUAAUGGUUUAAUUUAUAAUUUGCAUGAAUUUCAGACAGGACAGAUUUGAGUAUGCUGUAUUACGUGAUUUUUAGUAAAUCAUGGGUUUAUGCUUUGACUCCGAAAUUUUUAUGGUAUAUACUGAACAUACAGGAGAGUAGUUCUGUAAAUUUUCAUGACAAUUGGAUGUGUUUGAGCAGCCCGUUUGUAUUUUACAAAUGGAGCCUAUGCUGCUGGAACAGAACAAUGAGUAGUAAGGGACAUGCCUAACUUUGUGGAUUUAAUUAUCAAGUUAGGGUGAAUGUUUUGAGCUAUAAUUUAAUAUGCUUAUCUUUUGGUAUGUCUAGAUCAUAGAUUAAAUUUGUGUAACUUGUUUUGAGGUUUAGAACUCAAAGGAAGGGGUUCUAAUCCAUGAGACGGUUGUAUGUAUGAAGCUGUUUUGCCCGACGUGUUGUAUGUUAUCAUAUGAAUGUAUAUAGUUACAUGAUCAUGCUUAAAAGAUUUUAUAUUUAUGCAUGCAUUAUUGCCCUAACCUUAAAGCACCUUUUGAAAUAAAGUUAGCUCUUUUAGAGAUAUGGGAUUAAUAUAAGAAUGUUGGUUUCUCUAGGAUUUUGUACUUGUUGUUGAUGAAUGUAUUUUUGUUUGUGGGAACCUCGUUGAGGUGGGAUUAGGAUUUCCUUAAUUCUAAGAAAUAGGCUUUGAGUUGAUUGUGUAAGUCUAUGACAAGGAAAUUAUGGAUAGUAAUAAGCUUCGAUUUAUGGUUUAGGUGUUACCAGUAUCCAAGUCUAAGCUCCUUCGACUUUAGGCUCUCGGUUCCUCUGCUUUCAGUUAGCAGGUUUUAUUUUGGAGCAGAGGGAGCCUUAGUCGAGUUUUGAAAGGAGCUGGUUUUAGUUUGAUAUGUAUAGAUCUUAAAUUAGCAUUCUGACGUUUAGCUUUAUAGUUAUUGUGUAUUUUAGGAUCAAAUGAAAGUUGUGUAUACCUUAAAGUAUCAAGCUAUGUAUUAUGUAAAAGUGUGGAAAGUAAAUGAUCGGUGGAUUAUGUUAUUCUUUGGAGUACAAUGUAGAUGCUCUGAAUGUCAAGUCAAAGGUUAUAUAAUUUAAGUAAAGAAACAAGGAUUGAAAAGAAAA